rnacentral:rRNA from 1 species
UGCAAGUCGAGCGGACAGAUGGGAGCUUGCUCCCUGAUGUUAGCGGCGGACGGGUGAGUAACACGUGGGUAACCUGCCUGUAAGACUGGGAUAACUCCGGGAAACCGGGGCUAAUACCGGAUGGUUGUUUGAACCGCAUGGUUCAAACAUAAAAGGUGGCUUCGGCUACCACUUACAGAUGGACCCGCGGCGCAUUAGCUAGUUGGUGAGGUAACGGCUCACCAAGGCAACGAUGCGUAGCCGACCUGAGAGGGUGAUCGGCCACACUGGGACUGAGACACGGCCCAGACUCCUACGGGAGGCAGCAGUAGGGAAUCUUCCGCAAUGGACGAAAGUCUGACGGAGCAACGCCGCGUGAGUGAUGAAGGUUUUCGGAUCGUAAAGCUCUGUUGUUAGGGAAGAACAAGUACCGUUCGAAUAGGGCGGUACCUUGACGGUACCUAACCAGAAAGCCACGGCUAACUACGUGCCAGCAGCCGCGGUAAUACGUAGGUGGCAAGCGUUGUCCGGAAUUAUUGGGCGUAAAGGGCUCGCAGGCGGUUUCUUAAGUCUGAUGUGAAAGCCCCCGGCUCAACCGGGGAGGGUCAUUGGAAACUGGGGAACUUGAGUGCAGAAGAGGAGAGUGGAAUUCCACGUGUAGCGGUGAAAUGCGUAGAGAUGUGGAGGAACACCAGUGGCGAAGGCGACUCUCUGGUCUGUAACUGACGCUGAGGAGCGAAAGCGUGGGGAGCGAACAGGAUUAGAUACCCUGGUAGUCCACGCCGUAAACGAUGAGUGCUAAGUGUUAGGGGGUUUCCGCCCCUUAGUGCUGCAGCUAACGCAUUAAGCACUCCGCCUGGGGAGUACGGUCGCAAGACUGAAACUCAAAGGAAUUGACGGGGGCCCGCACAAGCGGUGGAGCAUG